GGUUUCUGAUGUAACCUGAGUGUGUCUGUGUUUUCCUGGUGCUGGCAGAGAUGAGGUAGAUAUAAGAACACAUGGGCUCUCACCUGGGCUUCAGAAGCCUUGACAGGCUGCAGGGUUGGAGGCCCAGAGCAGGCCUGUCAUUUCUCAACCAGAGUCCCUUCCUUGCCAUUUUAGAUGUCCUCCAUUACAGAAGAUAAACACCAAAGAUCCUCACCAGAGCUUUCCAAACACCACAGGCACCCAGCUGUGUGAGCAAGAUGCAGCAAAGCCAUGGAAAGGCCCCCAGGAACUCUGUUCUGAUGCUUACUAUACAAACUGCUCAGCAAAUUUUUGGGAUGGAAGUUGCCUGAAAUCAAGUUCCCUCUCCUUCUUCUUGAAUGUUCUUGGAAUACAGCAGUUUGGCCAAUGCCUGUGAGCAGAAGGUAGUUCUGCUUAUCCUACUGCAUCUCCAGAGCCUACAGAGGAGCCAAGAAGAAAGCAGGGCACGUGGAUUUAUAGAGUGUCUCAACUGCACCAUGAUCACAAGCCCUGCAGCGUUUGGACGAUGGCCAGG